rnacentral:lncRNA from 1 species
CUCUUUUCUGAGCCAGUGAUCCAAAACACACCACAAUUCAGUCACUCACAUCCCAGACAUCCACAACCAUCACAAAAUACUCUAUUAUACCAUUCUCCUACACCAAAAAUUCAUGUACCUUAAAUUAUUCCAUCACACGCCCUCUUAUCUCAAACUAUCCCACCUCAAACUACCAUAUCUAAUCCUCCCAUAUCUUAGCCUCCACCUGAACCUACUUAACCUCAAUCCAUUCCUUCACCUCC